AGGUGGCAGUGUCUGAUUACAUCUGGAAGGUCCAUGCCAGCAAGCCUGGUGUCUCCAGCUGUGACCCCCCGCACCAGGAUGAAAUCCCUGACUCUGCAACUACCUCAAGAGGUAGCACCACUGUCCACAUCUCUGUCUACACUGUUCACCUCAGCGGCUUCCAGGUGCUCUACAGACACUUCCUCAGGCUACCUGAUGGGGCUAUCAUUGAGGCAUUUGGUGAUAUUACUGCAGAAAGUCUUUUGUGUAAUGAAAUGAGCACAGCCCAGGAAUGCAUAUGCAAAAUGGGCAGCGUGCUGCAUACAUCUUCAUCUAUCAAGCUGAGGGAGAGGAAGAGUACCACAAGGUGGAAAGGAAAUCACAUUGUCUCCAGCAAGAGCUAAUUGCUGCAGUAAUGCAUAGUCCACAGAGUUGUUUACAUCCCGACCCACAACCAUAGUACGGUUACUGUCUGACAGGAUUUACGGUUCUGAAGUCCACACCUCUGUGUGCAUAGUGUUGUCCUACAAAUGCUCCAUUCAUAGCCCUCCUGUGGCUUCAACAAGCUUUUCAGUAUGGUGAGAUCACUGGAUCAUAUCAU